rnacentral:misc_RNA from 1 species
CAGAGUUGCAAAACUCCCACAAACCAUCGCGAAUCUUACCCGUACGGUUGCCUCGGCGCUGGCGGUCCGGAAGGCCCUCGGGCCCCCCGGAUCCUCGGGUCUCCCGCUCGCGGGAGGCUGCCCGCCGGAGUGCCGAAACCAAACCCUUGAUAUUUUAUGUCUCUCUGAGUAAACUUUUAAAUAAGUCA